GAUGAACGCUGGCGGCGUGCUUAACACAUGCAAGUCGAACGAGAAGUGAAGACGGAAACCUUCGGGCGGAAGGCUUUAUUUCGAGUGGCGGACGGGUGAGUAACGCGUGGGUAACCUGCCUCAUACAGGGGGAUAACAGUUGGAAACGACUGUUAAUACCGCAUAAGACCACAGCACCGCAUGGUGCGGGGGUAAAAACUCCGGUGGUAUGAGAUGGACCCGCGUUCGAUUAGCCAGUUGGCGGGGUAACGGCCCACCAAAGCGACGAUCGAUAGCCGAGCUGAGAGGAUGACCGGCCACGUUGGGAAUGAGACACGGCCCAAACUCCUACGGGAGGCAGCAGUGGGGAAUAUUGCACAAUGGGGGAAACCCUGAUGCAGCGGCGCCGCGUGAGUGAAGAAGUAUUUCGGUAUGUAAAGCUCUAUCAGCAGGGAAGAAAAUGACGGUACCUGAGUAAGAAGCCCCGGCUAACUACGUG
rnacentral:rRNA from 1 species